AGAUUGAACGCUGGCGGAAUGCUUUACACAUGCAAGUCGAGCGGCAGCGCGGGGCAACCUGGCGGCGAGCGGCGAACGGGUGAGUAAUGCAUCGGAACAUGUCCAUGUCGGUGGGGGAUAGCCCGGCGAAAGCCCGGAUUAAUACCGCAUACGCCCGAGAGGGGAAAGUGGGGGACCGCAAGGCCUCACGCGAUUGGGUUGCCGAUGUCCGAUUAGCUAGUUGGCGGGUAAUGGCCCACAAGGCACGAUCCGUAGCUAGGUCUGAGAGGAUGAUCACGCCUACACCUGGGACUGGAGACCACGGCCCAGCUCCGUACGGGAGCAGCAGUGGGAAUAGUUGGAC
rnacentral:rRNA from 1 species